CGCCGCUGCAGAGUUUGAUCCUGGCUCAGGACGAACGCUGGCGGCGUGCCUAACACAUGCAAGUCGAACGGAGUUACGGGAGCUUGCUCCUGUAACUUAGUGGCGGACGGGUGAGUAACGCGUGAGCAACCUGCCUUACAGAGGGGGAUAGCCAUUGGAAACGAUGGAUAAUACCGCAUAACGUAUAGAUAUGGCAUCGUAUUUAUACCAAAGGAGCAAUCCGCUGUAAGAUGGGCUCGCGUCCGAUUAGAUAGUUGGCGGGGCAACGGCCCACCAAGUCGACGAUCGGUAGCCGGACUGAGAGGUUGAACGGCCACAUUGGGACUGAGACACGGCCCAGACUCCUACGGGAGGCAGCAGUGAGGGAUAUUGCACAAUGGGCGAAAGCCUGAUGCAGCAACGCCGCGUGAGGGAAGACGGUUUUCGGAUUGUAAACCUCUGUUCUAAGUGAAGAUAAUGACAUUAGCUUAGGAGAAAGCCACGGCUAACUACGUGCCAGCAGCCGCGGUAAUACGUAGGUGGCAAGCGUUGUCCGGAUUUACUGGGUAUAAAGGGAGCGCAGGCGGGAUAGCAAGUCAGCGGUGAAAUGCAUGGGCUUAACCCAUGAACUGCCGUUGAAACUGUUAUUCUUGAGUGAAGUAGAGGCAAGCGGAAUUCCGAGUGUAGCGGUGAAAUGCGUAGAUAUUCGGAGGAACACCAGUGGCGAARGCGGCUUGCUGGGCUUUUACUGACGCUGAGGCUCGAAAGUGUGGGGAGCAAACAGGAUUAGAUACCCUGGUAGUCCACACUGUAAACGAUGAUUACUAGGUGUGGGGGGUCUGACCCCUUCCGUGCCGCAGCUAACGCAAUAAGUAAUCCACCUGGGGAGUACGGCCGCAAGGCUGAAACUCAAAGGAAUUGACGGGGGCCCGCACAAGCAGUGAAUUAUGUGGUUUAAUUCGACGCAACGCGAAGAACCUUACCAGGUCUUGACAUCGAGUGACGAGUUUAGAGAUAAGCUUUUCCUUCGGGACACGAAGACAGGUGGUGCAUGGUUGUCGUCAGCUCGUGUCGUGAGAUGUUGGGUUAAGUCCCGCAACGAGCGCAACCCCUGCCAUUAGUUGCUACGCAAGAGCACUCUAAUGGGACCGCUACCGACAAGGUGGAGGAAGGUGGGGACGACGUCAAAUCAUCAUGCCCCUUAUGACCUGGGCUACACACGUAAUACAAUGGCCGUAAACAGAGGGAAGCGACCCCGCGAGGGUGAGCAAACCCCUAAAAGCGGUCUCAGUUCGGUUCGCAGGCUGCAACCCG
rnacentral:rRNA from 1 species